ACACUUCAGCAGCACAUAUGCUAAAAUGGGAAUGAUACAGAGAUUAGCAUGGUCUCUGGGCAAGGAUGACAUGCAAAUUCAUGAAGCAUUUCAUAUUUUU
ensembl:snRNA U6 U6 spliceosomal RNA